CAAUUACCCACUCCCGGCACGGGGAGGUAGUGACGAAAAAUAACGAUACGGGACUCAUCCGAGGCCCCGUAAUCGGAAUGAGUACACUUUAAAUCCUUUAACGAGGAUCAAUUGGAGGGCAAGUCUGGUGCCAGCAGCCGCGGUAAUUCCAGCUCCAAUAGCGUAUAUUAAAGUUGUUGCGGUUAAAAAGCUCGUAGUCGAAUUUGUGUCUCAUGCCGCUGGUUCAUCGUUCGCGGUGUAAACUGGCGUGACAUGGGACGUCCUGCCGGUGGGCUUAGCUCUUAACGGGGCGGCCCUAUACAAUCCUGCCGCGUUGCUCUUGAUUGAGUGACGAGGUGGGCCGGCUCAUUUACUUUGAACAAAUUAAAGUGCUUAAAGCAGGCUAAAAAUUUGCCUGAAUAUGUGUGCAUGGAAUAAUGGAAUAGGACCUCGGUUCUAUUUUGUUGGUUUUAAGAACUCCGAGGUAAUGAUUAAUAGGAACGGAUGGGGACAUUCGUAUUGCGACGUUAGAGGUGAAAUUCUUGGAUCGUCGCAAGACGAACAUAAGCGAAAGCAUUUGUCAAAAACGUUUUCAUUGAUCAAGAACGAAAGUUAGAGGUUCGAAGGCGAUCAGAUACCGCCCUAGUUCUAACCAUAAACGAUGCCAGCCAGCGAUCCGCCGAAGUUCCUCCGAUGACUCGGCGGGCAGCUUCCGGGAAACCAAAGCUUUUGGGU
rnacentral:rRNA from 1 species